AUAAACAGACCUCCACAAUGAUCUUCUUACUGGGAAUAUUGCUCAUGGACUUUUCAGUCUGCAGUGUAAAGGCGAACUCUGUUACUCAACCUAAAGAUGAGACGGGUCUGGAGGGCAGCAGUGUGACACCCAACUGUCGGUAUGAGACCACAGCCUCAGCACUUAGCCAGUAUCUCUUCUGGUACCAGCAGAAGCCAAAUGGAUUCCCCGGAUACAUGCUACAGAAAAGCGAUAAUGGAGAUAGCUCUGACGACCAAUUCAGGGAAAGAUUCAAUGCUACACUCAACACUAAUGGAAAAACUGUUCCUCUGAUGAUCAAGAAUCUACAAGUGUCUGACUCUGCUGUGUACUACUGUGCUCUGAUGCCCACAGUGACAGCUGUACAGUCAAUACCCAUACAAAAACUGUCUAACAUCAACUCUCUAAUCUAUCCCAUGCUGUGCACAGCAUUAUCAAAAUCAAGGAUCAUCUCCUAG